rnacentral:rRNA from 1 species
AAAUUGAAGAGUUUGAUCAUGGCUCAGAUUGAACGCUGGCGGCAGGCCUAACACAUGCAAGUCGAACGGUAACAGAAAGCAGCUUGCUGCUUUGCUGACGAGUGGCGGACGGGUGAGUAAUGUCUGGGAAACUGCCUGAUGGAGGGGGAUAACUACUGGAAACGGUAGCUAAUACCGCAUAACGUCGCAAGACCAAAGAGGGGGACCUUCGGGCCUCUUGCCAUCGGAUGUGCCCAGAUGGGAUUAGCUUGUUGGUGGGGUAACGGCUCACCAAGGCGACGAUCCCUAGCUGGUCUGAGAGGAUGACCAGCCACACUGGAACUGAGACACGGUCCAGACUCCUACGGGAGGCAGCAGUGGGGAAUAUUGCACAAUGGGCGCAAGCCUGAUGCAGCCAUGCCGCGUGUAUGAAGAAGGCCUUCGGGUUGUAAAGUACUUUCAGCGGGGAGGAAGGGAGUAAAGUUAAUACCUUUGCUCAUUGACGUUACCCGCAGAAGAAGCACC